rnacentral:sRNA from 1 species
CAGAAAGCAUCUAACCUUCAUUCGACAUCGGUUUGUCAUAAUUCUACCCAUGUGGGGAAGGAUGAGAAGCUUCGACUAAGGUUCGAUUCGAGCGCAGCGAGAAAGCGUUGCCAACGGCAACGGCCCGAAGGGCGAAGCGCGCAGCGCUGAGUCAUCCUUCCCCCACCACCA